CAGCUAAAAAACACAUCUAUAGUCUGGAAUUCAAGCACUCUUUGGACACCAAAUCGGUCGGUUCGCGACUCUCUGCGCUCCUUUCUUCUUUUUUUUUACAAUACGACUAUACGACUAUUUCGUUUCCCUACAAUUCGUGGCGCGCGUGACCAGAAGCAACAAAAUACGGCCUAAGUGCGGUGUGACAGGCGGCAAUAAAUAUUGAUGUGACAUACAAAAGCGAAAGCUGCCAAACAAACACACACACAUUUUAAAAGCAGCUAGGGACGCAAGCGGUCAACAGGAGACAGCCAGGCGCUACACACCGAGAGAGAGAGAGUGUGGAGAGAGAGAGCGAAGCAAGGACCUUCGCAUCCAGAGAGAGAGAGUGACAGGCGAUCAACAACAAACGGGAUACAGGGUGUCAUGUGGAGUCCGACGCACUGCAAUGUAACGGUGCUGCGAGCGCGUGGACUGCAAACCAAGGGCAAGAAUGGCACCAACAACUGCUUCGUCACCAUUGCCCUGGGCAAGGAGAAGUACCAGACCUCGGUCAAGGACAAGUCCGAGCCGAGUGUCAACUGGAACGAGGAGUGCGAGCUAAAAAUUCCUGAUCAGGGCAACCGGGCUGAACUCACCCUGACCUGCCUGCACAGGAAUAACCUGAGUUUGGAUGAGUUCCUUGGCCAGGUGACGUUGCCCCUCAACGAGAUGGAUGUUUAUGAUCGGCCCAGGGCCAAGUGGUUCAAGCUGGAGAGCAAGCCCGGCAAGGAGAAGAAGAACAAGGAACGCGGCGAACUGGAGGUGCGCAUCGCCUUUGUGGUCAAGUCCGGAUCGCUGACCGAUCUCAGCAAGAAGGACAAGCACAAGUCUUCCAUCGGCCAGCUGGCCAGCUCCGUGGGCGGCAGCCUGCUGUCGAUCGGCAAUGGAGAGAAGCGCCGGAGCAUCAAGAAGCUGGCUGGGUCGCUCAGCUCCAAAUUGCACAUCCGCAGCAAGAAGAAGCAGGAGGCGGGCGGCGAUGACAGUAGCUCGUUUGGUGGCUCCUUUGCCAGCCUGGGCACGCCCAACAGCUCGACGGGAAGGGGCCAGAACGGUGGCAGUGGACGGCGACGCGGUGGGCAGCGGGCGGGCGAGGCCGAUCCGGGUGUGAUAAGCGAGGACGAGGACGAGUUUGUGUUCGACAAUCUAUCGCACAAGAGCUCCGGCAGUUCGCUGAACAUCCAGAGAUCGGGACUGCAGCCACCGGCGGCCGGUACGCCCAACUUCGCCCCGCGGCAUCCGUCACCCUUGCUGAACAACAACAACGGCGUGAGCGGCGUGGGGGCCAAAGGUAAGCCAGCGGGUAGGCCAGCAACGCUCGAUGAGGAUAUGCCCAUCGACGCGGAGAUGGAACAGCUUGAGCUCGAUUUCAGUGUCCGUGCCCAUGCUCGUGCGAAUUCCAGCGCAGUCGGUGGUGGUGGUGCUGGAGGUGGAGGAGGAGUCGGAGGCGUCAGUACACUGCCUCCAUCGAAGCCGCCGCGUAUUCCGGAGCAACUGGAGAGGGAACGGGAGCGUGAACGGGAAAAGGAACUGGAACAGGAACGGGAACGAGAACAGAAGCUGGAGCAGGAGCGCAAGAAGCAACAAGAGCUGGACGCCACCACGGAUGAGUGGGCCACCAAGCUGUAUGGCGGCAGCAAGUUCCUGGAGAUUGGAACCAGUGAUUCCCUGAAGCGACGCAGCUGGGAGGCGCGUGUGCCGAUCCCCGCCAGCACUGACGAGCCGCCGCCAGUGCCCACAUCCAGCAGCUCGUCGUCUAGUUGGAGCUCGGAAAGCGACGAAGAGGAGCCAGUGGUGGUAGCUAAGCCACCUCCUGCCCCAAAGGCAGCCCCACCACCAUCCCAAACCGAGACCCUAAUCCCUCCUCCAGUGGUGCCUGCUCCUGUGGUGUCCACACCAAAAGUGCCCACUCCCGUGGUGCCUACUCCUUCUCUUGGAAUGGGCACUCCACUGGCCUCCUCUUCGUCCCUUUUCUCGCCCGAGGUGGAGCAUCGCAACUUUGACACCUUCAACGCUAGCUUCGCCAAGUUUGAGCAGCGAAACAGCACUGCUAUCUUUGCGGACGAACCGGAGCUGGAGGACCUGGAGCCAGAGCCGGAGCGGAAGGCGCCCACGCCCACAGCCCGUCCCAAGCCCCAGCCCAGGGUGCUGAUCGAUCCCCGGGCGGAGGAGGAGAAGGAGAAGGCCAGACAGCAGCGGGCCGAGGAGGAUGCCCGCCUGGAGGCGGAGCUGCGCCUGAACGAGCAGCGUCUGCGCGAAGAGGAGGCUGCCCUGCAGCGUGAACUGGAAGAGGAGGAGGCGGAACGGGAGCGGGAGCGAGUGCGAGACCUCGAACGCCAGAAGCUGGAGGAGCAGCGCCGCCGCGAGGCCAAGCGCUGGGAGGAGGAUCAGCGUCUGCUGAGCUUCGCCAAACGCUCCACAUCGCUGGAAGAGCCAGUUGGCACCAAAAUCAUAGUACCCGUGGACCCAGAGGCCGAGAUUGAUGUGGAUAUAGAGCUAGAUGUGGAGCCGGAACACAAUUUCCUGACGCCCGAACAGUCGCCCAAGGAAUUCCAGACGAAUGGCGGUGAGAAGCGGCUGGGCAAGUUCAAGUAUGGGAACAAGCGAGAUAAAUAUAAUAAUGAGAAUGAUAGCAACUCGCCCAGUCCCAAGGCCACCGAAAGGAUCAUCAUUGGCCACGAAAAGUCACAAUCGCAUGCUGAGCGCCGAUCGGAGAUCUCUGCCCAGUUGGCCAAGAAAUACGAAGGCAAAUCCCGUGAGGAACUUAUGCUAAUUGCCAAUGGUAUGGAGAAUGAGGCUUUGCUGCAACGACAGCGGGUUAAGGAACUGGAGGACUAUCUGGACAAUCUGCUCCUCCGGGUGAUGGAGACGCAUCCCAAGAUCCUACAGAAUCCCUACUCGCGCACCACAUCCGCCAAGAGUUAUAAAAAUUACAUCAAUAUGAAUGACUUUCUUAAGUAAAAGUGUGCUGCGCAUGUUGCAAGUUGCAUUUAAAAACUAGAUAACUUGACCUUCAACAACAACUACCACAACAACAACAACAACAAAAAUCAUCACAACAACCACAAAAAUAAUAAAAAACAGGAAGUACAGUGAAACCAGGAAGAGGAGCCGAACCAAAAGGCGGAAGAAGAGCAUCCCCCCGAACGGUUAAAAAAGCCAAACUUGUCACACACACACACCUCCCCACACACACUUACAUAUAUACAUGAAGCUUCAAGGACUUCCUACAAGGUCACAGGAUCUGGAUAAGAACACCAAGUUGCCUUUGUCGUUGGACAGCGAAAUUCAAGUGCUUUCUAAACAAAAUAACCUCCCUCCCCCCCAAAAACACCAAAAGAUGGUACGGGAGGGGGUAUAUCCUAAAUUAAAUUAUAAAAACCAAGUAGUUGUAGGCUUUAAGGACUUGCAUACUGAUAUUUCCGGUACAUGUCGUUCUAUUUCGUAUAUAUCCUGUACUAAAAAUGAACUAAAUUAUUUGUACUAUACACCCACACCUACACACACAACAAGACCGUUUAUAUAUAUAAAUUUUUAUCUAUAUGUUUCGAUUCGAGUCCCCCCUAAUCGAUUGAUUGAAAUUAUCCGAAAGUAUUUUGUUUUUUUUUUUUUAAUGUCAAAUUUUUAUGUAAUAUUUGUUGUGCAAAAAAAAAAAAAGAGAUAGUGAGAAAAGUUUGAGAACGUUUUUUUGUAAAGCGUCGCCGGGGAAGCGACCUUAGUGAGUUAAGUCUUAAAUUAUUUAUGUUUUAGUGCUUAAGCCAAAUGGCGGGAAUAGCGGGGUCACCCAUUGACCCCGAAAUAACACACAUACACCACACCACACAUACACACACACAGUUGAAAUAUGUUGAUACUACUAUGAUUUUACUUAUUGAUAUACAACUCAAACAAUAAAAAUAUUUUUAACAUUAAUAACAAA